AGUGCAGAUGUUCGCAAGGUAAUAAAGACUAGUUUUUGUAUGCAUCAAAUAAUUCAUCUUUUUUACUUUACAAACUGAUCCGAUUCAUAAGAAAAUACCUGAUUAAUCAAUACUUUGGCAAUAGUACUACCAGGAUUACUUUCAAUAAUAUUGUCCAGGACAUCUCACUACCAACUUUCUUCUCAAAAAAAUAUUCAGGGGUUUCCUUUUGACACUGAAUUUGGUUUUGUAAUCUUCUAACUUUUCAUUUGUUAUAUCUUUGUCGGGUGGUCCAGACUGUUGUUUUCUGCCUGGUAG
rnacentral:misc_RNA from 1 species